rnacentral:rRNA from 1 species
UACGGGGGGGGCAAGCGUUGUUCGGAAUUACUGGGCGUAAAGGGCUUGUAGGUGGCCAACUAAGUCAGACGUGAAAUCCCUCAGCUAAACUGGGGAACUGCGUCUGAUACUGGAUGGCUUGAGAUUGGGAGAGGGACGCGGAAUUCCAGGUGUAGCGGUGAAAUGCGUAGAUAUCUGGAGGAACACCGGUGGCGAAGGCGGCGUCCUGGACCAACACUGACACUGAAAAGCGAAAGCCAGGGGAGCAAACGGG